rnacentral:rRNA from 1 species
AUUGAACGCUGGCGGCAUGCCUUACACAUGCAAGUCGAACGGCAGCACGGGAGCAAUCCUGGUGGCGAGUGGCGAACGGGUGAGUAAUAUAUCGGAACGUGCCCAGUCGUGGGGGAUAACGUAGCGAAAGCUACGCUAAUACCGCAUACGAUCUACGGAUGAAAGCGGGGGAUCGCAAGACCUCGCGCGAUUGGAGCGGCCGAUAUCAGAUUAGCUAGUUGGUGGGGUAAAAGCUCACCAAGGCGACGAUCUGUAGCUGGUCUGAGAGGACGACCAGCCACACUGGAACUGAGACACGGUCCAGACUCCUACGGGAGGCAGCAGUGGGGAAUUUUGGACAAUGGGCGCAAGCCUGAUCCAGCAAUGCCGCGUGCAGGAUGAAGGCCUUCGGGUUGUAAAGCUCUUUCGGUUGGGAAGAAUUGCACUGUUAAUACCUAGUGUAGAUGACGGUACCAGCAUAAGAGCACCGGCUAAC